rnacentral:ncRNA from 1 species
GCAGAUAAGGCCAAACCCACCGCGAGGUGGGGACGGAAAGCCACGGGUCUCAGAUAAGCCGAGAUAGCCGGGUUGCCCAAC